CAGUCGAACGCAGUAGCAAUACUGAGUGGCAGACGGGUGAGUAACAUGUGGGAAUCUGCCUUGUGGUUCAGGACAACAUUGGGAAACCGAUGCUAAUACUGGAUAAGCCCUUACGGGGAAAGUUUUAAUGCCAUAAGAUGAGCCCGCAUUUGAUUAGUUAGUUGGUGAGGUAAUGGCUCACCAAGACAAUGAUCAAUAGCUGAUCUGAGAGGAUGAUCAGCCACACUGGGACUGAGACACGGCCCAGACUCCUACGGGAGGCAGCAGUGGGGAAUCUUGCACAAUGGAGGAAACUCUGAUGCAGCGAUGCCGCGUGAGUGAAGAAGGCCUUUGGGUUGUAAAGCUCUUUUGUAGGGGAAGAUAAUGACUGUACCCUAAGAAUAAGGUCCGGCUAACUUCGUGCCAGCAGCCGCGGUAAUACGAAGGGACCUAGCGUAGUUCGGAAUUACUGGGCGUAAAGCGCGCGUAGGCCGUUGAGUUAGUUAAUUGUGAAAUCCCAAAGCUUAACUUUGGAACUGCAAUUAAAACUGCUCGACUAGAGUUUGAUAGAGGAAAGCGGAAUACAUAGUGUAGAGGUGAAAUUCGUAGAUAUUAUGUAGAACACCAGUUGCGAAGGCGGCUUUCUGGAUCAACACUGACGCUGAGGCGCGAAAGUAUGGGUAGCAAAGAGGAUUAGAUACCCUCGUAGUCCAUACCAUAAACGAUGAUUGCUAGAUGUUGGAAAUUUAUUUUCAGUAUCGCAGCUAACGCAUUAAGCAAUCCGCCUGGGGAGUACGACCGCAAGGUUAAAACUCAAAUGAAUUGACGGG
rnacentral:rRNA from 1 species